rnacentral:rRNA from 1 species
UACGUAGGGGGCAAGCGUUGUCCGGAAUCAUUGGGCGUAAAGGGCUCGUAGGCGGCCAACUAAGUCCGACGUGAAAUCCCAAAGCUUAACUUUGGAACUGCGUCGGAUACUGGAUGGCUUGAAUUCGGGAGAGGGAUGCAGAAUUCCAGGUGUAGCGGUGAAAUGCGUAGAUAUCUGGAGGAAUACCGGUGGCGAAGGCGGCAUCCUGGACCGACAUUGACGCUGAGGAGCGAAAGCUAGGGGAGCGAACGGG